rnacentral:rRNA from 1 species
CGUAGGGUGCAAGCGUUAAUCGGAAUUACUGGGCGUAAAGCGUGCGCAGGCGGUAAUGUAAGACAGUUGUGAAAUCCCCGGGCUCAACCUGGGAACUGCAUCUGUGACUGCAUUGCUGGAGUACGGUAGAGGGGGAUGGAAUUCCGCGUGUAGCAGUGAAAUGCGUAGAUAUGCGGAGGAACACCGAUGGCGAAGGCAAUCCCCUGGACCUGUACUGACGCUCAUGCACGAAAGCGUGGGGAGCAAACAGGAUUAGAUACCCUGGUAGUCCACGCCCUAAACGAUGUCAACUGGUUGUUGGGUCUUCACUGACUCAGUAACGAAGCUAACGUGUGAAGUUGACCGCCUGGGGAGUACGGCCGCAAGGUUG